CUCAUCUUGGUCAGAAAUGGAGCGACGGUUUUGCCCUCACUACUUGCCUCAACUACGAUUUUGCCAUUGUUUUACGAUAAGACGCUGGAGGCUUCGAGAGACAGUGAUAGAGAGAGAGAGAGAGAGAGAGAGAGAGAGACGGUGAUCGAGAUAGAAACAAUCGAGGGUUGGGUUUGUUUUGGAAGAUGUUCCGUUGCACCAAGACUUGGAACCCACCGCUUCCUCUUCUCUUAGUUUGAGAAGAGAAGAGGACUUGGCUACAUUGGUAACCAAACCUCAAUUUGGAGACACUGCUUACCAAGAAAGGAGACGUGAUGAUUUAGGUAAGACAAAUUCUCAUGAAACUUGCAGUUUAUAAUGCAGAAGCAGGGGAGGAUUCUGAUAUUAUACUUUCUGUUUUGAUUCUGUUAAUAAAACGUGUGGGAUGGCUUUUGAUUGGUGUAUUGAUCACAACUUUGUUCAGAAUGUUGAUAUAGACGAAUUAUGGAAGAUAUUUGGCCCAUAUUUUGUCAAGGAAUCUAUAGCCAAGUUUUGUGACCAUGUGGAAGCAAGAUCGACAAUGUCAAUUGUGAGGGUCACAAAAAUGAUAUGUACAUAUUGUAAACAUGUAAAAGACAGCCAUACUCUAAGAAUAUAUUUCUUUUGCAUUCUUUUACUUGAGAUUUAUUUUUUUAUUUAAGGGAUCGUACAUAUUUGAGAUAUUUUAUUUAAUAUCAUCUUAUUAUCUGAACUAAUCUAAUAAAUUAUAAAUAUCAAAGAAAUCAGCUAAAUCGGUAGCAAACCACUUAAAAAUAAAAAUAAAGUAACGAGAGUUUAGCUAGACUUAAAUUCAAUUUGAAUUUGGAUGGGGUAUUAUUUAGCUAGACUUCAAAGUUCAAACUUUCAAAGUCUCUUUCUAUAUCAUUUGGAUAUUAUAGCUGGGUUGGCACUGUAUAUUGUUUAUGAAUCAAUAGUAUGUCACUGUUCAUCUUGGUCAGAAAUGGAGCGACUGUUUUGCCCUUACUACUUGCCUCAACUACGAUUUUGCCAUUGUCUUACGAUAAGAGAGAGACAGUGAUAGAGAGAGAGAGAGAGAGAGACGGUGAUCGAGGUAGACACACAGCAAUCGAGGGUUGGGUUUGUUUUGGAAGAUGUUCCGUUUCACCUGUAUAGGUUAGUUUGCACCGAGACUUGGAACCCACCGCUUCCUCUUCUCUUAGUUUGCAAAAUAGUGCAGAUGACAACCAUUUCUUUUAACUGAAGUAGGACUUGGCUACAUUGGUAACCAAACCUCAAUUUGGAGACACUGCUUACCAAGAAAGAUGGGAUCUGACAAAUGGAACCCAUUGUCCUUACCAAAUUCACGGGAAUAUCAAAAUACCAGCAAAAACAAUAUUGAUCUUAGUCAGCAACUUAUCUAAACUCAAAAAAUUUAAGUUGACGAGGUUCUAUACAAUAUUGCUGUGUUGCCUUAAGCCAAAAUACAGUGUCAAAUGUGAUGCGUUCUUCUUUCAUUUCUCAAAAUACUCACAAUGUCAAAUGUGAUCGAUUCUUCUCUAAUGUGCUUCAAUAUUGCUGUGUUGCACAGUGGUCUUAUUGACAUAAUUUUUUUUUUCCACAGAUUGGGGUUAAACAUGAAGUCUGUUUAUCUUUUAAUGUAACAUUAAAUCUUUAUUUAUUGGGUUUAACCUAGCUGUGAAAAUAAAAUUUGGCUUUUUUCCUACUCCUGAACUUGUAAUAUAUAAGACCUCUGCUUAAUUAAGAUGGCAAAAAUGAAUGCAGCAGAGGAUUUUAAUUGAGGAAGCUGAGAAUAAGUAGGACGACGACAUGUGGACAUCAGUGAACAACCAAAGAAAUAAGCUUUUCCAGAGAUGGAUGUCCAAGGAUGCUAUUGAUUUAUUUUGAUUGAGGUGAGAGGGAAUCCAGAAGACAAUUAUCUCAGUUCUUGAUAGUGCUCAUGGCCUCUGUAAGUGUGGUUCCUUCAUCUGGAUUAGGAGACGGCAGUGGAAAUACGGUUGCCCAGUGAGAUGAAUAACAUGAAAAUUAGGGAUGACGUACAAGAUAAUGUAGGCAUUGAGGAGUUGACCUGGCUUAUAUGCUCAUUGGUAUUGAAAAGAGACAUCUACCUGAAGCAUGGCCGGAAGCAAAAUUGAGCUGUGAAAAUCUUAAUCAAAGAUUAUGUAGUGAACCUUGAACGGCAGGAGACGUGAUGAUUUAGGUAAGACAAAUUCUCAUGAAACUUGCAGUUUAUAAUGCAGAAGCAGGGGAGGAUUCUGAUAUUAUACUUUCUGUUUUGAUUCUGUUAAUAAAACGUGUGGGAUGGCUUUUGAUUGGUGUAUUGAUCACAACUGUGUUCAGAAUGUUGAUGAGGAAAUACACACGUAACUGUUGAUGGCGAA